UUGGUGGACAGGGACUAUAUGAACCUCGG
rnacentral:piRNA from 1 species